AUUGAACGCUGGCGGCAGGCUUAACACAUGCAAGUCGAGCGAGCGGCGGACGGGUGAGUAAUGUCUGGGAAACUGCCUGAUGGAGGGGGAUAACGUCCGGAAACGGGCGCUAAUACCGCAUACUAUCAGAUGAGCCUAGGUCGGAUUAGCUAGUUGGUGGGGUAAAGGCCUACCAAGGCGACGAUCCGUAACUGGUCUGAGAGGAUGAUCAGCCACACUGGGACUGAGACACGGCCCAGACUCCUACGGGAGGCAGCAGUGGGGAAUAUUGCACAAUGGGCGCAAGCCUGAUGCAGCCAUGCCGCGUGUAUGAAGAAGGCCUUAGGGUUGUAAAGUACUUUCAGCGGGGAGGCGUUACCCGCAGAAGAAGCACCGGCUAACUCCGUGCCAGCAGCCGCGGUAAUAC
rnacentral:rRNA from 1 species